UACAGAGGUCCCAAGCGUUGUUCGGAUUCAUUGGGCGUAAAGGGUGCGUAGGCGGUGAGGUAAGUUGGAUGUGAAAUCCCGGGGCUCAACCCCGGAACUGCAUUCAAUACUGCCUUGCUAGAGUACUGGAGAGGAGAUUGGAAUUCACGGUGUAGCAGUGAAAUGCGUAGAUAUCGUGAGGAAGACCAGUGGCGAAGGCGAAUCUCUGGACAGUAACUGACGCUGAGGCACGAAGGCUAGGGGAGCAAACGG
rnacentral:rRNA from 1 species